rnacentral:rRNA from 1 species
UGAUCUGACGAGCUUGCUCUGAUUUGAUUUUAUCUGACAAAGAGUGGCGAACGGGUGAGUAACACGUGGGUAACCUACCUCUUAGCAGGGGAUAACAUUUGGAAACAAGUGCUAAUACCGUAUAAUACCAACAACCGCAUGGUUGUUGGUUGAAAGAUGGUUCUGCUAUCACUAAGAGAUGGACCCGCGGUGCAUUAGCUAGUUGGUAAGGUAACGGCUUACCAAGGCAAUGAUGCAUAGCCGAGUUGAGAGACUGAUCGGCCACAAUGGGACUGAGACACGGCCCAUACUCCUACGGGAGGCAGCAGUAGGGAAUCUUCCACAAUGGGCGCAAGCCUGAUGGAGCAACGCCGCGUGUGUGAUGAAGGGUUUCGGCUCGUAAAACACUGUUAUAAGAGAAGAACGGCACUGAGAGUAACUGUUCAGUGUGUGACGGUAUCUUACCAGAAAGGAACGGCUAAAUACGUGCCAGCAGCCGCGGUAAUACGUAUGUUCCAAGCGUUAUCCGGAUUUAUUGGGCGUAAAGCGAGCGCAGACGGUUAUUUAAGUCUGAAGUGAAAGCCCUCAGCUCAACUGAGGAAUGGCUUUGGAAACUGGAUGACUUGAGUGCAGUAGAGGAAAGUGGAACUCCAUGUGUAGCGGUGAAAUGCGUAGAUAUAUGGAAGAACACCAGUGGCGAAGGCGGCUUUCUGGACUGUAACUGACGUUGAGGCUCGAAAGUGUGGG